rnacentral:rRNA from 1 species
UACGUAGGGUGCGAGCGUUGUCCGGAAUUAUUGGGCGUAAAGGGCUCGUAGGCGGUCUGUCGCGUCGGAAGUGAAAACUCAGGGCUUAACCCUGUUCGUGCUUCCGAUACGGGCAGACUAGAGGUAGGCAGGGGAGAACGGAAUUCCUAGUGUAGCGGUGAAAUGCGUAGAGAUUAGGAAGAACACCAGUGGCGAAGGCGAUUCUCUGGACUGUAACUGACGCUGAGGCUCGAAAGCGUGGGGAGCAAACAGGAUUAGAUACCCGCGUAGUCCCUGAG